rnacentral:rRNA from 1 species
GACGAACGCUGGCGGCGUGCUUAACACAUGCAAGUCGAACGGCAAGGCCCUGCUUUUGUGGGGUGCUCGAGUGGCGAACGGGUGAGUAACACGUGAGUAACCUGCCCUUGACUUUGGGAUAACUUCAGGAAACUGGGGCUAAUACCGGAUAGGAGCUCCUGCUGCAUGGUGGGGGGUGGAAAGUUUCGGCGGUUGGGGAUGGAUUCGCGGCUUAUCAGCUUGUUGGUGGGGUAGUGGCUUACCAAGGCUUUGACGGGUAGCCGGCCUGAGAGGGUGACCGGCCACAUUGGGACUGAGAUACGGCCCAGACUCCUACGGGAGGCAGCAGUGGGGAAUAUUGCACAAUGGGCGGAAGCCUGAUGCAGCAACGCCGCGUGCGGGAUGAAGGCCUUCGGGUUGUAAACCGCUUGCGCCUGUGACGAAGCGUGAGUGACGGUAAUGGGUAAAGAAGCACCGGCUAACUACGUG